rnacentral:rRNA from 1 species
UACGUAGGUCUCAAGCGUUAUCCGGAUUUACUGGGCGUAAAGUGUCCGUAGCCUGAUAUAUAAGUCCGUUUUCAAAUACUCCGACUCAAUCAGAGAAAGGGGAUGGAUACUGUAUAUCUAGAAGUUAUUAGGGGUUAGUGGAAUUUCCGGUGGAGCGGUGAAAUGCGUUGAUAUCGGAAAGAACGCCGAAAGCGAAAGCAGCUAACUAUAAUAAACUUGACGUUGAGGGACGACAGCAUGGGGAGCAAACCGG